GACAGAGGGUGCAAGCGUUGUUCGGAUUCAUUGGGCGUAAAGGGCGGGUAGGCGGUCUAGCAAGUCGGGUGUGAAAGCCCAGGGCUCAACCCUGGAAGUGCAUCCGAAACUGCGUGACUUGAGUACCGGAGAGGGUGGUGGAAUUCCUGGUGUAGAGGUGAAAUUCGUAGAUAUCAGGAGGAACACCCGAGGCGAAGGCGACCACCUGGACGGAUACUGACGCUGAGCCGCGAAAGCGUGGGGAGCAAACAGG
rnacentral:rRNA from 1 species